rnacentral:rRNA from 1 species
AUACGUAGGGAGCGAGCGUUGUCCGGAUUUACUGGGCGUAAAGGGCGCGUAGGCGGGUAAAUAAGUCAGAUGUGAAAACUAUGGGCUCAACCCAUAGCCUGCAUUUGAAACUGUAUAUCUUGAGGGCAGGAGAGGAAAGUGGAAUUCCUAGUGUAGCGGUGAAAUGCGUAGAUAUUAGGAGGAACACCAGUGGCGAAGGCGACUUUCUGGACUGAACCUGACGCUGAAGCGCGAAAGCAUGGGGAGUAAACAGGAUUAGAUACCCUGGUAGUCCAUGCCGUAAACGAUGAAUACUAGGUGUAGGGGGUAUCGACCCCCUCUGUGCCGCAGUUAACACAAUAAGUAUUCCGCCUGGGGAGUACGGCCGCAAGGUUGAAACUCAAAUGAAUGGACGGGG